rnacentral:tRNA from 1 species
GCUUCCUUGGCUCAGUUGGCUAGAGCGCAGGUCUCAUACAUUGUAUGAUCUUCUUCUGAAGAAUAAUCCUGAGGUCGCAAGUUCGAGCCUUGCAGGGAGCA